GCUUCAGCAUUGUUUUCUCCCUGAAAUAGUAGUAGUCUUCAAACUAACACUUUCCAAUUGCUUUGCAAUCCCAGAAGCAAGACUUAGAAGGAACCUUAUCUUUCAAGGAAGAAUGGAGAAGACACAGUUGGAAAGGGAUCAUCUCUUGUUGAUGUGAUCUCUAACCAAGCAAAAGAUUCAGAAGGUUAGCAUUAAGUGCACUGAAAUGUUAGAUUAUAAUUCCCAGCUGGAAUGGUAAAGUCAGACAUUUGAGAACUUGCCUCAAUACUUUGACUUUCCUUCAUGUGUGGCCAGAAAGGGGUUAUCCAGAAGCAAAGAAGUCGCCAAGAGGCCAGAGAUCCAAAAAAGUGUUGAACUUCUAAGGAAACCCCAUCUGAAUGUUCUAAAGACCAAAAGUUGUCCAUAAGCUUUCAGGCCUUGUCACCAUAAGCUAAGAAUAACUCCAGACAAAACUUAUCAAAACAAGAGUCAGGACCAACCCAAAAGCAAUUGUUUCUUCGGUAGCCUCAUCAAGGUCAUUCAAGUCAAUGAGACUGACCUUUCCCAACAUUAACCCAGGAUUCUAAUCAAGAUGACAUGGAGAUGAACUUAUUUUGUCCAGCUGGCUACAAAAGCAAAUGCAUGAAUUCUUUCUUGCUCACCCUCAUGCUAGCCUUUCCCUCCCCUCUUCCUGUUUCUUUUCUUUUUCACACAUGCACAAGCAGUCACGUCGUCAUAUGAGACAAGUGAACACUGAAUCUUAUGGGUAAAAAAACAGAUGUUUUCCAAUUAUCCUUCACAAAACCAUAUUUUACAUCGGGUUCUUCUAUGGAUUUAUAGCCAAUGAAGAGAUGUUACUACAUUAGCUCAUGAAGGGGGAUGAUAAAAACUGGAAAGGAAGAGUCAGACAAGGCAAAAAGAAGCUAUCCAGAAGGCUGCAAUUGGAGAAGCAUGACAAAUGGGCAGCACAGUUUUAGAGGGUUCCGGCAGAAAGGCAGAUUGCCUGACUGGGAGAGAUUCUCCACAGCUGGAGUAUCGCAUACACCAUCUGGAAUUUUUUAAAUCUGCUUUCCCCAGGUGAUCUGAUUCUCAGAGUGCCAGUAGAGAUGAGAAAAGAAGUAAUUGUACAGCUCAGAACAGCUCCAAA